GACGAACGCUGGCGGCGUGCCUAAUACAUGCAAGUCGAACGGUCUUUUCUAUGGAAGCUUGCUUCCACUGAGAAGAUAGUGGCGAACGGGUGAGUAACACGUGGGUAACCUGCCCAUAAGAGGGGGAUAACAUCCGGAAACGGGUGCUAAUACCGCAUAGUUUUCUUGAUCGCAUGAUUGAGAAAGGAAAGACGGCCUUUGUGCUGUCGCUUAUGGAUGGACCCGCGGCGUAUUAGUUAGUUGGUGAGGUAACGGCUCACCAAGACGAUGAUACGUAGCCGACCUGAGGGGGUGAUCGGCCACAUUGGGACUGAGACACGGCCCAAACUCCUACGGGAGGCAGCAGUAGGGAAUCUUCCGCAAUGGACGAAAGUCUGACGGAGCAACGCCGCGUGAGUGAAGAAGGUUUACGGAUCGUAAAACUCUGUUGUCAGAGAAGAACAAGUCGGAGAGUAACUGCUCCGGCCUUGACGGUAUCUGACCAGAAAGCCACGGCUAACUACGUGCCAGCAGCCGCAGUAACAC
rnacentral:rRNA from 1 species